CAUGUUUGUUUGGGCUGUGAGGUUGUGUUCAUGUUUGUGGGCUGUGAGAUUGUGUUCAUGUUUGUUUGGGCUGUGAGGUUGUGUGUUCAUGUUUGUGGGCUGUGAGAUUGUGUUCAUGUUUGUUUGGGCUGUGAGGUUGUGUGUUCAUGUUUGUUUGGGCUGUGAGGUUGUGUGUUCAUGUUUGUUUGGGCUGUGAGGUUGUGUUCAUGUUUGUUUGGGCUCUGAGGUUGUGUGUUCAUGUUUGUUUGGGCUGUGAGGUUGUGUGUUCAUGUUUGUUUGGGCUGUGAGGUUGUGUGUUCAUGUUUGUUUGGGCUGUGAGAUUGUGUGUUCAUGUUUGUUUGGACUGUGAGGUUGUGUGUUCAUGUUUGUUUGGGCUGUGAGAUUGUGUGUUCAUGUUUGUUUGGACUGUGAGGUUGUGUGUUCAUGUUUGUUUGGGCUGUGAGGUUGUGUGUUCAUGUUUGUUUGGGCUGUGAGGUUGUGUGUUCAUGUUUGUUUGGGCUGUGAGGUUGUGUGUUCAUGUUUGUUUGGGCUGUGAGGUUGUGUGUUCAUGUUUGUUUGGGCUGUGAGAUUGUGUGUUCAUGUUUGUUUGGGCUGUGAGAUUGUGUGUUCAUGUUUGUUUGGACUGUGAGGUUGUGUGUUCAUGUUUGUUUGGACUGUGAGGUUGUGUGUUCAUGUUUGUUUGGACUGUGAGGUUGUGUGUUCAUGUUUGUUUGGACUGUGAGGUUGUGUGUUCAUGUUUGUUUGGACUGUGAGGUUGUGUGUUCAUGUUUGUUUGGACUGUGAGGUUGUGUGUUCAUGUUUGUUUGGGCUGUGAGGUUGUGUGUUCAUGUUUGUUUGGACUGUGAGGUUGUGUGUUCAUGUUUGUUUGGACUGUGAGGUUGUGUGUUCAUGUUUGUUUGGGCUGUGAGGUUGUGUGUUCAUGUUUGUUUGGACUGUGAGGUUGUGUGUUCAUGUUUGUUUGGACUGUGAGGUUGUGUGUUCAUGUUUGUUUGGGCUGUGAGGUUGUGUGUUCAUGUUUGUUUGGGCUGUGAGGUUGUGUGUUCAUGUUUGUUUGGGCUGUGAGGUUGUGUGUUCAUGUUUGUUUGGGCUCUGAGGUUGUGUGUUCAUGUUUGUUUGGGCUGUGAGGUUGUGUGUUCAUGUUUGUUUGGGCUGUGAGGUUGUGUGUUCAUGUUUGUUUGGGCUGUGAGGUUGUGUGUUCAUGUUU